UCCUUUGUGUAUAAGCGUGUGCACUCAUCAUCAGCAUGCACACGGACCAGUUUUCUGUCUAUCGAUUCGAAUCGAAUGUAGCCAGAGACGUUCAAGUUUAAUUUUCCCGGCUUCGUUCCCAUGGAAACACACUGACCAAAGAGAUCUUAAACAACCUUCUCUUCCCCCUUUUUCAUGGGAUGUUGAGGAUGGAAAGGUGCAACUGUAAGAUAAAUAUACAAUUAAAAUACAAGAUUGAAAUUAAAGGAUCAAACUAAAGGAUAAAUUGUAAUAACAAAAUAGAAACAGAAAGGUUACGUUUUACUUGAUUAUGAUGAGAGAUGGAAACUGAUUGGAAGAAACUUUGCGUUGGCCAGUGAGAUACCUUCAAGUGGCUGCGGUAGAGAGGAUGAUACACAGGAAACAAAGAAAAUUGUGCAACAGCACUGGAAAAAUAAAGUGCUGACGAUACGGUGACCGAGAAACCAAGUGACCCAAUGAUAUACGAAUUGAGUUAACGGCGUUUAUCCGGAUCGUGAUUCUCUUACAUACUUUUUGCGAUCUCUUCUUCCGUGAAUGCUCCACAAAAUGUGAAAAAAAUAAGUGUUUCUCAAAAGGAAUUUCGCAAAAUCCGACGUCUAGACGAGAAACAACCUUGUAAACAGGUCACGACAGAAACUUACUUUCCCGUCGAUGAUUAAUCAUUUCAUCGACCAAUAUUCAAUUUAUCUUGCACGAAUCACGUUUUAUUACGAUCUUUCCAUAUGAAAUCGCAAUUAUUCUUUCUACUAGAAAAAAGGAGAGGUUGAAUUUACAAUUGAGUAACAACAAGCUGAUGUCCACGGAUGUGUUGUCAUUAGGAUUUCAUUGUCAGGAACACGCAACUGACUCACCAAUAGGCCGGUUUCCACGCUCGGCAGCAACGUAAGCCUACUGCCAUCUUGCAAACGAUUUUCCUCGAGCGUGCCCUCGCGCAGUUGCCUGAAAUACACCAAAAAUUCUUAGUUAAAUAUCGUCAUUCAAGCCUCACAGCGACGAAACAGCCUUCGCUGUGUUUACGAAAAAUUACGAAAAACUGUUCUAUGAAUAUUGUUCCGCGAUAAUUGGGGCUAAUUCGAACACGGCGUUAUCCCUUAUCGCGCCAAGCACGUGUAAGAUUACACGUACGUGGCGUAAUUACAUGUCGCACAAU